rnacentral:rRNA from 1 species
GGGGAAUAUUGCGCAAUGGGGGGAACCCUGACGCAGCAACGCCGCGUGGAGGAAGAAGGUCUUCGGAUUGUAAACUCCUGUCUUCUGGGACGAUAAUGACGGUACCAGAGGAGGAAGCCACGGCUAACUACGUGCCAGCAGCCGCGGUAAUACGUAGGUGGCGAGCGUUGUCCGGAAUUACUAGGCGUAAAGAGCGCGUAGGCGGUUUUUUAAGUCAGAUGUGAAAAUCCAGGGCUUAACUCUGGGCGUGCAUUUGAAACUGGGGAACUAGAGUGCAGGAGAGGUAAGUGGAAUUCCUAGUGUAGCGGUGAAAUGCGUAGAUAUUAGGAGGAACACCAGUGGCGAAGGCGACUUACUGGACUGUAACUGACGCUGAGGCGCGAAAGCGUGGGUAGCGAAC